UCCGGGAUGGUGUAAUGGUAACACAGGUGCCUCUGGAGCACUAAUUCUAGGUUCGAAUCCUAGUCCCGGAA
rnacentral:tRNA from 1 species